rnacentral:rRNA from 1 species
GAUGAACGCUGGCGGCGUGCCUAAUACAUGCAAGUCGAGCGAACAGACGCGGAGCUUGCUCCUCUGACGUUAGCGGCGGACGGGUGAGUAACACGUGGAUAACCUACCUAUAAGACUGGGAUAACUUCGGGAAACCGGAGCUAAUACCGGAUAAUAUAUUGAACCGCAUGGUUCAAUAGUGAAAGACGGUUUUGCUGUCACUUAUAGAUGGAUCCGCGCCGCAUUAGCUAGUUGGUAAGGUAACGGCUUACCAAGGCAACGAUGCGUAGCCGACCUGAGAGGGUGGUCGGCCACACUGGAACUGAGACACGGUCCAGACUCCUACGGGAGGCAGCAGUAGGGAAUCUUCCGCAAUGGGCGAAAGCCUGACGGAGCAGCGCCGCGUGAGUGAUGAAGGUCUUCGGAUCGUAAAACUCUGUUAUUAGGGAAGAACAAAUGUGUAAGUAACUAUGCACGUCUUGACGGUACCUAAUCAGAAAGCCACGGCUAACUACGUG